rnacentral:rRNA from 1 species
GUGCUAUGGAUGGUACGGGUACGGGGUGUUAGGGCACGACACCGGAGAGGGAGCCUGAGAAACGGCUACCACAUCCAAGGAUGGCAGCAGGCGCGCAAAUUACCCAAUCCCGACACGGGGAGGUAGUGACAAUAAAUAACAAUACGGGGUCCUUUCGGGUCUCGUAAUUGGAAUGAGUACAAUUUAAAUCUCUUAACGAGGAACAAUUGGAGGGCAAGUCUGGUGCCAGCAGCCGCGGUAAUUCCAGCUCCAAUAGCGUAUAUUAAAGUUGUUGCAGUUAAAAAGCUCGUAGUUGAAUUUCGGGAUCAACAUGUCGGUCGUGCCUCCGGUACGUACUGGCAUCGUUGAUUUCUACCUUCUGACAAACCAUGAUGUCAUUAAUUUGGUGUCAUGGGGAAUCAGGACUGUUACUUUGAAAAAAUUAGAGUGUUUAAAGCAGGCACACGCUUGAAUACAUUAGCAUGGAAUAAUGAAAUAGGACGUUUGACCCUAUUUUGUUGGUUUCUAGGAUCGACGUAAUGAUUAAUAGGGAUAGUUGGGGGCAUUAGUAUUCAAUUGUCAGAGGUGAAAUUCUUGGAUUUAUUGAAGACUAACUACUGCGAAAGCAUUUGCCAAGGAUGUUUUCAUUAAUCAAGAACGAAAGUUAGGGGAUCGAAGACGAUCAGAUACCGUCGUAGUCUUAACCAUAAACUAUGCCGACUAGGGAUCGGAUGAUGUUAAUUUUUUAAUGACUCAUUCGGCGCCUUACGGGAAACAACUUUUUUGUGUGCCUCCAUAA